UUAUGAUGUAUUUCAGAACUGUUCUCAGCCCACCAGCUUAUUACCUUCUCAGAGGGCCCCGAUCACCUCCUGGGGCCGCAGUCCCCCGACUCCCUCCAGCCCAGACACUAGUGAGACCUCCGGACCCCCCAGUUCCACCUCCACGUCAUUGGUCAUCAAGAACGAGAGCUUCAGGAAGGAAAGCUUUGUGAGUUUCUCUUUAAAACCAGCAUCAGGAAACCAAGUGGUCCAGCUGACAGGGUACAAGCCAUCAGGUUGUUGAACUGCAAAUGGACUGGAUCCUGAUACAAACUGAAAGAAUGGACACACACACACACACACACACACACACACACACACACACACACACACACACACACACACACACACACACACACACACACACACACACACACAGUUCCCACCUGAAGAUGUGCACUGCUGCCACAAACACACACUGCUAAGAAGGAGAGUGAAAUCAAAUAAGGAAGGAAAGAUGAAGAAGUGAAAUCUUCUUCUCACAUUGUCACUGCUCUGUUCCCAGAUCAGAUCCACGUUCCCUUAUUUUGGGUUAGGUCUAUGACUGCCUGCCAGGGGGUCCUCAGCUCUGCAGGAACCCCCUGACGUCUCCAGUAGAGCAGUGGUGUAACUUUUCUAAUUUAAGCAAUACACAUACACUAAGAACAACAAGUCUGUCUAAGAAUGAUCAUGUCUAUCACCAGUUCUCUGAAUCUCAAUGUGAGCUGAUCUCUUCAAAGUACAAAAUAUUGUUUUAAAGUGGACCUAUCAUGCUAUAUUUGAAUAAUAUAGUGUAGGACCAUACCUA